ACAUGCAAGUCGAGGGGCAGCAUGAUUGAAGCUUGCUUCAAUUGAUGGCGACCGGCGCACGGGUGAGUAACGCGUAUCCAACCUUCCGUACACUCAGGGAUGGCCUUUCGAAAGAAAGAUUAAUACCUGAUGGUAUGAUGAGAUUGCAUGAUAGCAUCAUUAAAGAUUUAUCGGUGUACGAUGGGGAUGCGUUCCAUUAGGUAGUAGGCGGGGUAACGGCCCACCUAGCCUACGAUGGAUAGGGGUUCUGAGAGGAAGGUCCCCCACAUUGGAACUGAGACACGGUCCAAACUCCUACGGGAGGCAGCAGUGAGGAAUAUUGGUCAAUGGACGAGAGUCUGAACCAGCCAAGUAGCGUGAAGGAUGAAGGUCUUACGGAUUGUAAACUUCUUUUAUAAGGGAAUAAAACCUCCCACGUGUGGGAGCUUGUAUGUACCUUAUGAAUAAGCAUCGGCUAACUCCGUGCCAGCAGCCGCGGUAAUACGGAGGAUGCGAGCGUUAUCCGGAUUUAUUGGGUUUAAAGGGAGCGCAGACGGGUCGUUAAGUCAGCUGUGAAAGUUUGGGGCCCAACCUUAAAAUUGCAGUUGAUACCGGCGUCCUUGAGUGCGGUUGAGGUGUGCGGAAUUCGUGGUGUAGCGGUGAAAUGCUUAGAUAUCACGAAGAACUCCGAUUGCGAAGGCAGCACACUAAGCCGUAACUGACGUUCAUGCUCGAAAGUGUGGGUAUCAAACAGGAUUAGAUACCCUGGUAGUCCACACGGUAAACGAUGGAUACUCGCUGUUGGCGAUAUACGGUCAGCGGCUUAGCGAAAGCGUUAAGUAUCCCACCUGGGG
rnacentral:rRNA from 1 species